UACGAAGGUGGCAAGCGUUGUUCGGAUUCACUGGGCGUACAGGGUGUGUAGGCGGUUUGGUAAGCCUUCUGUUAAAGCUUCGGGCCCAACCCGGAAAGCGCAGAGGGUACUGCCAGGCUAGAGGGCGGGAGGGGAGCGCGGAAUUCCCGGUGUAGCGGUGAAAUGCGUAGAGAUCGGGAAGAACAUCGGUGGCGAAAGCGCUCUACUGGACCGCAACUGACACUCAGGGACGAAAGCUAGGGGAGCGAAUGGG
rnacentral:rRNA from 1 species